rnacentral:rRNA from 1 species
GGGUUGUGAGGUUAAGCGACUAAGCGUACACGGUGGAUGCCCUGGCAGUCAGAGGCGAUGAAGGACGUGCUAAUCUGCGAAAAGCGUCGGUAAGGUGAUAUGAACCGUUAUAACCGGCGAUGUCCGAAUGGGGAAACCCAGUGCAAUUCGUUGCACUAUCGUUAACUGAAUACAUAGGUUAACGAGGCGAACCGGGGGAACUGAAACAUCUAAGUACCCCGAGGAAAAGAAAUCAACCGAGAUUCCCCCAGUAGCGGCGAGCGAACGGGGAGCAGCCCGGAGUCUGAAUCAGCUUGUGUGUUAGUGGAAGCGUCUGGAAAGUCGCAGGGUACAGGGUGAUACUCCCGUACACUAAAACACACAGGUUGUGAACUCGAAGAGUAGGGCGGGACACGUGGUAUCCUGUCUGAAUAUGGGGGGACCAUCCUCCAAGGCUAAAUACUCCUGACUGACCGAUAGUGAACCAGUACCGUGAGGGAAAGGCGAAAAGAACCCCGGCGAGGGGAGUGAAAAAGAACCUGAAACCGUGUACGUACAAGCAGUAGGAGCCCCACCACCAAAGCGUUUCGCUUUGCGUGGUGCGCAAAAUGCGUAACGACAGCAUGAUGGACGGUUAACGGAGCGUCAGCGACGUUCAACCUCAAAAAUCAGGCAGUGGAGCGUUUUGGGGUGGGGUGACUGCGUACCUUUUGUAUAAUGGGUCAGCGACUUAUAUUCUGUAGCAAGGUUAACCGAAUAGGGGAGCCGCAGGGAAACCGAGUCUUAACUGGGCGUUAAGUUGCAGGGUAUAGACCCGAAACCCGGUGAUCUAGCCAUGGGCAGGUUGAAGGUUGGGUAACACUAACUGGAGGACCGAACCGACUAAUGUUGAAAAAUUAGCGGAUGACUUGUGGCUGGGGGUGAAAGGCCAAUCAAACCGGGAGAUAGCUGGUUCUCCCCGAAAGCUAUUUAGGUAGCGCCUCGUGAACUCAUCUUCGGGGGUAGAGCACUGUUUCGGCUAGGGGGUCAUCCCGACUUACCAACCCGAUGCAAACUACGAAUACCGAAGAAUGUUAUCACGGGAGACACACGGCGGGUGCUAACGUCCGUCGUGAAGAGGGAAACAACCCAGACCGCCAGCUAAGGUCCCAAAGUCAUGGUUAAGUGGGAAACGAUGUGGGAAGGCCCAGACAGCCAGGAUGUUGGCUUAGAAGCAGCCAUCAUUUAAAGAAAGCGUAAUAGCUCACUGGUCGAGUCGGCCUGCGCGGAAGAUGUAACGGGGCUAAACCAUGCACCGAAGCUGCGGCAGCGACACUAUGUGUUGUUGGGUAGGGGAGCGUUCUGUAAGCCGUUGAAGGUGGCCUGUGAGGGUUGCUGGAGGUAUCAGAAGUGCGAAUGCUGACAUAAGUAACGAUAAUGCGGGUGAAAAACCCGCACGCCGGAAGACCAAGGGUUCCUGUCCAACGUUAAUCGGGGCAGGGUGAGUCGACCCCUAAGGCGAGGCCGAAAGGCGUAGUCGAUGGGAAACAGGUUAAUAUUCCUGUACUUGGUGUUACUGCGAAGGGGGGACGGAGAAGGCUAUGUUGGCCGGGCGACGGUUGUCCCGGUUUAAGCAUGUAGGCGGAUGUUCCAGGUAAAUCCGGAACGUUAUUAACGCUGAGGUGUGAUGACGAGGCACUACGGUGCUGAAGUGACAAAUGCCCUGCUUCCAGGAAAAGCCUCUAAGCAUCAGGUAACAUCAAAUCGUACCCCAAACCGACACAGGUGGUCAGGUAGAGAAUACCAAGGCGCUUGAGAGAACUCGGGUGAAGGAACUAGGCAAAAUGGUGCCGUAACUUCGGGAGAAGGCACGCUGAUGGUAGGUGAAGUGACUUGCUCAUGGAGCUGAAAUCAGUCGAAGAUACCAGCUGGCUGCAACUGUUUAUUAAAAACACAGCACUGUGCAAACACGAAAGUGGACGUAUACGGUGUGACGCCUGCCCGGUGCCGGAAGGUUAAUUGAUGGGGUUAUCCUCACGGAGAAGCUCUUGAUCGAAGCCCCGGUAAACGGCGGCCGUAACUAUAACGGUCCUAAGGUAGCGAAAUUCCUUGUCGGGUAAGUUCCGACCUGCACGAAUGGCGUAAUGAUGGCCAGGCUGUCUCCACCCGAGACUCAGUGAAAUUGAACUCGCUGUGAAGAUGCAGUGUACCCGCGGCAAGACGGAAAGACCCCGUGAACCUUUACUAUAGCUUGACACUGAACACUGGUCCUUGAUGUGUAGGAUAGGUGGGAGGCUUUGAAGUGUGGACGCCAGUCUGCAUGGAGCCAUCCUUGAAAUACCACCCUUUAAUGGCUGGUGUUCUAACGUGGGCCCGUGAUCCGGGUUGCGGACAGUGUCUGGUGGGUAGUUUGACUGGGGCGGUCUCCUCCUAAAGAGUAACGGAGGAGCACGAAGGUCAGCUAAUCCUGGUCGGACAUCAGGAGGUUAGUGCAAUGGCAUAAGCUGGCUUGACUGCGAGCGUGACGGCGCGAGCAGGUGCGAAAGCAGGUCAUAGUGAUCCGGUGGUUCUGAAUGGAAGGGCCAUCGCUCAACGGAUAAAAGGUACUCCGGGGAUAACAGGCUGAUACCGCCCAAGAGUUCAUAUCGACGGCGGUGUUUGGCACCUCGAUGUCGGCUCAUCACAUCCUGGGGCUGAAGUAGGUCCCAAGGGUAUGGCUGUUCGCCAUUUAAAGUGGUACGCGAGCUGGGUUUAGAACGUCGUGAGACAGUUCGGUCCCUAUCUGCCGUGGGCGCUGGAGAAUUGAGGGGGGCUGCUCCUAGUACGAGAGGACCGGAGUGGACGCAUCACUGGUGUUCGGGUUGUCAUGCCAAUGGCAUUGCCCGGUAGCUAAAUGCGGAAGAGAUAAGUGCUGAAAGCAUCUAAGCACGAAACUUGCCCCGAGAUGAGUUCUCCCUGACUCCUUGAGAGUCCUGAAGGAACGUUGAAGACGACGACGUUGAUAGGCCGGGUGUGUAAGCGCAGCGAUGCGUUGAGCUAACCGGUACUAAUGAACCGUGAGGCUUAACCUUACAACGCCGAAG